rfam:Nicotiana sylvestris Nsyl_contig5093, whole genome shotgun sequence.
AUUCCAUUAUGCUGACACUUUCUCACUUUCUCCUGGAAUAUUUCCCAAGCUUCGAAGACCUUUUCAGUGUCCUUCUGGCAGAAUUUGUGGAUUUCCUUUCUGAAUUU